GCCCGAUUAGCUCAGCUGGUUAGAGCGUCGUACUAAUAUGCGCUCAAAAGGCCAUAUAUGGUAUGCGAAGGUCAACAGUUCAAUCCUGUUAUUGGGCA